GAGGAAUAUUGGUCAAUGGGCGCGAGCCUGAACCAGCCAAGUAGCGUGCAGGAUGACGGCCCUAUGGGUUGUAAACUGCUUUUGUAUGGGGAUAAAGUCAAUCACGUGUGAUUGUUUGCAGGUACCAUACGAAUAAGGACCGGCUAAUUCCGUGCCAGCAGCCGCGGUAAUACGGAAGGUCCGGGCGUUAUCCGGAUUUAUUGGGUUUAAAGGGAGCGUAGGCCGGAGAUUAAGUGUGUUGUGAAAUGUAGACGCCCAACGUCUGACUUGCAGCGCAUACUGGUUUUCUUGAGUACGCACAACGUUGGCGGAAUUCGUCGUGUAGCGGUGAAAUGCUUAGAUAUGACGAAGAACUCCGAUUGCGAAGGCAGCUGACGGGAGCGCAACUGACGCUUAAGCUCGAAGGUGCGGGUAUCGAACAGGAUUAGAUACCCUGGUAGUCCGCACAGUAAACGAUGGAUGCCCGCUGUUGGUACCUGGUAUCAGCGGCUAAGCGAAAGCAUUAAGCAUCCCACCUGGGGAGUACGCCGGCAACGGUG
rnacentral:rRNA from 1 species